rnacentral:rRNA from 1 species
CCAGACUCCUACGGGAGGCAGCAGUGAGGAAUAUUGGUCAAUGGACGAGAGUCUGAACCAGCCAAGUAGCGUGAAGGAUGACUGCCCUACGGGUUGUAAACCUCUUUUGUCAGGGAGCAAAGGGCGCCACGUGUGGCGCUUUGCGAGUACCUGAAGAAAAAGCAUCGGCUAACUCCGUGCCAGCAGCCGCGGUAAUACGGAGGAUGCGAGCGUUAUCCGGAUUUAUUGGGUUUAAAGGGUGCGCAGGCGGAAUGUCAAGUCAGCGGUAAAAUUUCGGGGCUCAACCCCGUCGUGCCGUUGAAACUGGCGUUCUUGAGUGAGCGAGAAGUAUGCGGAAUGCGUGGUGUAGCGGUGAAAUGCAUAGAUAUCACGCAGAACUCCGAUUGCGAAGGCAGCAUACCGGCGCUCAACUGACGCUCAUGCACGAAAGUGUGGGUAUCGAACAGGAUUAGAUACCCCUGUA